GGCCCUUUGGCCAAGUGGUAAGGUGUUCUCCUCCGGUAAUCGGGCACAGAGAAAGAUCGCUGGUUCAAUCCCAGCAUGGGUCG
rnacentral:tRNA from 1 species